rnacentral:lncRNA from 1 species
UCUGAAUAACUCUAUUUUCCCCUAAUUCAGGUGAUGGACGGGCGUUGGAGCCAGACACCUUAAAAGCCUCUAACUGUUAAAGAAGCUUACCACCUCUGAAUGGCUCUCGACACUCAUGUUUCUCUACACUGGCGAAAUGCGUAAACAGUUGCCUGGAAUCAUCAUGACUAUCGGUGACCAACCAGUUCAUAGCCCCAAGAAGAGCAGCUUAGGGUUUGUGCGUAGGACACAAUGGGUGCUUUCUGCAGUGAGGCUGACAGCGGUUGACAGGGUUUUGUUCUGUGGAUCUUUCUGCCUACGCGAACACAGUGGAAGCUUACCUUGUCUAGACCUUGGGUGACUGUCCGGUGACACGUAAUGGUCUCGCCCGACAGCACCUCCCACAGAAACAGUGGUUGGAGAGGAAGCUGGUAGACUUCCACACUUACCUCCGCUGCAGAGACACCAUGGGGAUUCCCUGGCACGGCAGGAGCCUCUGUGGCCUGUUCUGGGUCUUCCGAGCCUUUGGAGGCGUCUUCUUUGGGCUGGCUGUCAACCGGCACGCUUUCUCUUCCUUUGUCCAGUUUAAAGAAUCUGUUCAAAAAGCUGAAAUCCUUAGCCUGGGCGGGGGCUUCUGCCCGGGACUCAGGUGUGUGCUUGGGCUGACAUCAAACCUCCCCGAUGCAGCCGAUGAAUCCGUGCCUUGGUCCCCGGGACGUCCUGGUACAGGCCGAGAGAGUGUCAAGAAAAAAUGGGAUCUAGCAGCUGGCGUCUUGAGCUUGGCAUCUUUCCCAAGAUUCUUUCCGCUGGCAUCGCCCACAGCCUGGGCCUCCAUUGUCUUGGGGGAAGAAGUAGCCACAUUAUCCUUCUUCGGGCUGCUGAUUCCCAAGUCGACUGUAAACACAAACAUAAACAGAGGUCAUUCAACAAGCCAGGAAAUUCAAGGGUGAAUAAUGGACUCCAACUUUUUGAUACACAACGUCCCUUCUGCAGACUGGGGCGGCCUUGUUCCCAGCUGUCAGCGCGGUGGACACCUCCUGACCCUGCCCUUCCUGGAAGAGAGACCCUCUGAGGCUGAUGAGGCAGAAAAGCCAAGGACUGGGAAGUCACUACCUGCCAGGCACCACGUGAGUGACACCCAAUGUCCACUGUCAUCUUCUACUUCCCUGGGAUCUGGAGAAGUGUAUACUUAAUUUUUUUCCAAUAGACAUCGUGGCCGUGUUUGUG